rnacentral:rRNA from 1 species
AUAGAGCGGUAGGAAAGCGUUCCCGCGGGGAUGAAGCCAAAGCGUGAGCGAUGGUGGACCUUCGGGAAGUGAGAAUCCGGGCUUAAGUAACGAUAAAUCUGGUUAGAAUCCAGAUCGCCGUAAGGAUAAGGUUUCCCGGGCAAGGUUCGUCCGCCCGGGGUUAGUCGGGAGCUAAGGUGAGGCCGUAAGGAGUAAUCGAUGCACACACGGUUAAUAUUCCGUGACCCGCUUGUAACUAUAUGUUGGGGACGAAUUUUUGGAAGCUAUAAUCCCGCUCUGGCAGGGUAACUCAAAACUACGGUUGCGAGUGUGUAGUGAAAGAAAGUUCCAAGAAAAGCCAACCAUUUACUAUGCAAGCGGCCCGUACCGCAAACCGACACAGGUAGUCGAGGAGAGAAUCCUAAGG